AUGGUCAAGUGAAUAAGUGCAUACGACGGAUGCCUUGGCAUUAGAAGGCGAUGAAGGACGCGACAAUCUGCGAUAAGCUUCGGUUAGCUGAUAAUAAGCAUUAUUAGCCGGAGAUCUCCGA
rnacentral:rRNA from 1 species